rnacentral:rRNA from 1 species
UGCGCAGGCGGUUUUGUAAGACAGGUGUGAAAUCCCCGGGCUUAACCUGGGAACUGCAUUUGUGACUGCAAGGCUAGAGUACGGCAGAGGGGGGUAGAAUUCCACGUGUAGCAGUGAAAUGCGUAGAUAUGUGGAGGAAUACCGAUGGCGAAGGCAGCCCCCUGGGUCGAUACUGACGCUCAUGCACGAAAGCGUGGGGAGCAAACAGGAUUAGAUACCCUGGUAGUCCACGCCCUAAACGAUGUCAACUAGGUGUUGGGGGAGGAGACUUCCUUAGUACCGCAGCUAACGCGUGAAGUUGACCGCCUGGGGAGUACGGCCGCAAGGUUGAA